rnacentral:rRNA from 1 species
GAUGAACGCUAGCGGCAGGCUUAACACAUGCAAGUCGAACGGUAACAGAAGAGCUUGCUCUUGCUGACGAGUGGCGAACGGGUGCGUAACGCGUAUACAACUUACCUCUAAUUAAGGAAUAGCUCAGAGAAAUUUGAAUUAAUACCUUAUAAUAUCUAAUUACUGCAUGGUAAUAUGAUUAAAGAAUUUCGAUUAGAGAUGGGUAUGCGUGAUAUUAGCUAGUUGGUAAGGUAACUGCUUACCAAGGCUACGAUAUCUAGGGGGUCUGAGAGGAUGAUCCCCCACACUGGUACUGAGACACGGACCAGACUCCUACGGGAGGCAGCAGUGAGGAAUAUUGGUCAAUGGACGAAAGUCUGAACCAGCCAUGCCGCGUGAAGGAUGAAUGCCUUACGGGUUGUAAACUUCUUUUAUAAGGGAAGAAACCUUUUUAUUUAUAAAAAGCUGACGGUACCUUACGAAUAAGCAUCGGCUAACUCCG